AGAGUUUGAUCAUGGCUCAGAACGAACGCUGGCGGCGUGGAUUAGGCAUGCAAGUCGAACGAGAUUCUGCUGUUCGAGUCUUCGGAUGAGAACAGUAGAUGAUAGUGGCGAAAGGGUGAGUAAUGCGUGGGUAAUCUGCCUCGGAGUUGGGGAUACCCCUGCGAAAGCGGGGUUAAUACCGAAUGUGGUGAUCUUCCGCAUGGGAGAGAAUCCAAAGGCGGGCGCAAGCCUGUCGCUCUGAGAUGAGCCCACGUCCUAUCAGCUAGUUGGUGGGGUAAAGGCCUACCAAGGCGACGAUCUGUAGCUGGUCUGAGAGGACGACCAGCCACACUGGGACUGAGACACGGCCCAGACUCCUACGGGAGGCAGCAGUGGGGAAUUUUGGACAAUGGGCGCAAGCCUGAUCCAGCCAUGCCGCGUGCGGGAAGAAGGCCUUCGGGUUGUAAACCGCUUUUGUCAGGGAAGAAACGCGCCGAGUUAAUACCUUGGUGUAAUGACGGUACCUGAAGAAUAAGCACCGGCUAACUACGUGCCAGCAGCCGCGGUAAUACGUAGGGUGCGAGCGUUAAUCGGAAUUACUGGGCGUAAAGCGUGCGCAGGCGGCCAUGCAAGACAGAUGUGAAAUCCCCGGGCUCAACCUGGGAACUGCAUUUGUGACUGCAUGGCUGGAGUGCGGCAGAGGGGGAUGGAAUUCCGCGUGUAGCAGUGAAAUGCGUAGAUAUGCGGAGGAACACCGAUGGCGAAGGC
rnacentral:rRNA from 1 species